AGGGGAUACACCCGGUCACAUGCCGAACCCGGCAGUUAAGCCCUCCAGCGCCGAUGGUACUACGGAGGGUAUUCGUGGGAGAGUAGGUCGCUGCCAGAU
rnacentral:rRNA from 1 species